GACGUAGGGCGCGAGCGUUGUCCGGAUUUAUUGGGCGUAAAGAGCUCGUAGGCGGCUUGUCGCGUCGUUCGUGAAAACUUGGGGCUCAACCCCAAGCUUGCGGUCGAUACGGGCAGGCUAGAGUUCGGUAAGGGAGACUGGAAUUCCUGGUGUAGCGGUGAAAUGCGCAGAUAUCAGGAGGAACACCGGUGGCGAAGGCGGGUCUCUGGGCCGAUACUGACGCUGAGGAGCGAAAGCGUGGGGAGCGAACAGG
rnacentral:rRNA from 1 species